rnacentral:lncRNA from 1 species
AUGCAGGAAACACUGGCACUUGUCUUCUCUUUGUCACAGUAACAGAUGCUGAAGCACCUAUUCUGUACUGCCCAAAUAUAUCUUCUACCACGGAUGAGGGACGCAAUUCAUCAUCUACUGUUCUGCUGAAUUCAACUGCAACUAAUGAUAAGGAUUUUCAUCUCGAUGUGAAUUGCUCCUAUUCAUCCCAAGAUACAUACCCUAUAGGGGACACCACUGUGAACUGCUCAUCUACAGAUGAUGCAGGAAACACUGGCACUUGUCUUUUCGUUGUCACAGUAACAGAUGACGAAGCACCUAUUUUGAACUGCCCAAAUAUAUCUUCUACUACGGAUGAGGGACUCCAUUCAUCAUCUACUGCUCUGCUGAAUUCAACUGCAACUGAUAAUGUGGAUUUUCA